GAGAAGAGAGAAAAUUCAAAAAGAAACAAACAUCUUUGUUUCUCUCUCUGUUUUCUUCUCUCUCCUCUAGGGUUUCUCAAAUUCAUCCUUUUUCAGCAAAAAGGCAUUGCCUUUUCAUCCAUUUGAAGCAUAUAUUGUUCUCAGCUUAAAGAAGCUUUCACAAUCAUGGUCUUCUGGAUUUUCGGCUAUGGCUCCUUGGUAUGGAAUCCAGGUUUUGAAUAUGAUGAGAAACUGAUUGGUUACAUUAAGGAUUACAAGCGUGUAUUUGAUCUUGCUUGCAU
rnacentral:misc_RNA from 1 species